rnacentral:rRNA from 1 species
UGGGGAAUAUUGCACAAUGGGGGAAACCCUGAUGCAGCAACGCCGCGUGCGGGAUGACGGCCUUCGGGUUGUAAACCGCUUUCAGCCAUGACCAAGCUUUUGUGACGGUAGUGGCAGAAGAAGCACCGGCUAACUACGUGCCAGCAGCCGCGGUGAUACGUAGGGUGCGAGCGUUGUCCGGAAUUAUUGGGCGUAAAGAGCUUGUAGGCGGUUUGUCGCGUCGAAAGUGUAAACUCAGUGCUUAACGCUGAGCCUGCUUUCGAUACGGGCUGACUAGAGGAAGGUAGGGGAGAAUGGAAUUCCCGGUGGAGCGGUGGAAUGCGCAGAUAUCGGGAGGAACACCAGUGGCGAAGGCGGUUCUCUGGACCUUUCCUGACGCUGAGAAGCGAAAGCGUGGGUAGCAAACAGG